GCGCGCAAAUUACCCAAUCCCGACUCGGGGAGGUAGUGACAAUAAAUACUGAUACAGGGCUCUUUUGGGUCUUGUAAUUGGAAUGAGUACAAUUUAAAUCCCUUAACGAGGAACAAUUGGAGGGCAAGUCUGGUGCCAGCAGCCGCGGUAAUUCCAGCUCCAAUAGCGUAUAUUAAAGUUGUUGUGGUUAAAAAGCUCGUAGUUGAACCUUGGGCCUGGCUGGCCGGUCCGCCUCACCGCGUGUACUGGUCCGGCCGGGCCUUUCCCUCUGUGGAACCCCAUGCCCUUCACUGGGUGUGGCGGGGAAACAGGACUUUUACUUUGAAAAAAUUAGAGUGCUCCAGGCAGGCCUAUGCUCGAAUACAUUAGCAUGGAAUAAUAAAAUAGGACGUGUGGUUCUAUUUUGUUGGUUUCUAGGACCGCCGUAAUGAUUAAUAGGGACAGUCGGGGGCAUCAGUAUUCAAUUGUCAGAGGUGAAAUUCUUGGAUUUAUUGAAGACUAACUACUGCGAAAGCAUUUGCCAAGGAUGUUUUCAUUAAUCAGGAACGAAAGUUAGGGGAUCGAAGACGAUCAGAUACCGUCGUAGUCUUAACCAUAAACUAUGCCGACUAGGGAUCGGACGAUGUUAUUAUUUGACUCGUUCGGCACCUUACGAGAAAUCAAAGUGCUUG
rnacentral:rRNA from 1 species